GUGUGUUUGUGAGCGAGUUUGUGGAAAUACAGAAGGAUGACCCAACGCAUGAGGCAGGCAGAUGACAGGAUGGGAAAGAGAUUGUUUUCAAGAGAGACUGGAAAACAGUCAUCUAUCUGAAUGCAGAUCUCAUACUGUGGCCGCAGGACUCCAGACAGCCACAAUAUAUCAAUGACACAGCAGACAUCUGAGGUGAAAAACUUUUCAUCAUUUGCUUUUUUAAGGAAUGAUUAAGACACAAAGCUCAGCAAGUGAAAUGGCUUUCUGCACAGCAAAACCCCUCUGGUUCUCUGGACCGCCUGCAUGUAUGAUCUGGAUUGGCAAGUGGUGCGCUAUUUAGGUUUUGUAAGGUUAUAGGUUUUGAAAGUAUAGGUUUUGUAAUUCAUCACUAUGAGGUGGAACUCGUUUUGAUGACUUGUCAUAUCCAAUCAUUUUGAGGCACCACUGAAGGAGCAUAACGGCCAGAGAAACAGAGGAAACGGACAAACUAACACCAUGGCAUAUGCAAAUGUAUGUGUGUGUGUGUGUGUGUGUGUGUGUGUGUGUUUCAGACGCAGAGACACAAGCACAAAGUCAGUUGUUCUGAUUCACAGUUCACUCCUUUUAGGCAGGUGUCAAAAAUAUCACAAGGAAAAGAGGAAGCAGUCAGGGAGAAUUAAAGACAGACACUCAGACACACCAAAGAGAAAGUUUCAUCAUGCUGAAAGAUGGAGGAAGGGUUAGGAUGUACGUGCCAAAAUGACUAAGUACAAAGAUGACAUUAAAGACUUAUGACAACAAAA